UCAAGAAUUUCAUGCAUCUGCCUACAAUGGGAACAUAAUUGAAACUGGUAAAAUACACUAAAAAUGUCAAAUAUCACUAGUUUUCUUCUAAAUAAAAUCAUUUGUUUCAUUAACUGCAGUCAUU